UGUGAAGCAUAGAGUAAUAGUCACUUUAUUAUGUUUAUGAAACAAAUACAUAUUUGCACUCACUAGCCUGGAAGAUUAAUUGGAAAACACUAAUAUUUUCUAAGAAGUUAGCACUAAUAUUGUCUAAGAAGUUACACAUUUCAGAUAACACCCAAGGGUGCUCAUUGCUUCCAGCAUUCGUUCGUAAACUGAGCCUCUCCUUCUGGUUGUAAAUUGUAUUUUAAGAUGCAGAGAGAGUUAGAGAUUAUACCAAUCCAGAUAUCUGCAGUGAAAUCACUUAGUAUGUCUGUGUUACUGAUAGGUCUUGUUAAUGCUGCACAGAGACUGAUCUGCUGGGAGCGGAUCAGUGGCGUACAUUUUCUGCUGGUUGUCAUGACAACCAUAAAUCCAUGCAGCUGUACCGAGUGUGUUAAUCUGUGUAGUUUAAUCCAGUUUCCAGAUUAGGUCAUCAAUAUUGAGCUCUUAGGUAACCACUGGUUUAAAUGCUGCUCUCCAUUCUCUUCUCUUAAAAUAGUGCCUGGAGUCCAACCCGUGCGCCUACAAGGAAGAUGCAUUGCAACAUUUAGGAAAGACAGAGCCACAGAGCAAUUUAUUGCUGUAAUAGCAGUGUAUAACUUGGCUCAGUGUCCCAAGCCUGGUAUUUUUCAGGUGUUUACAGUUCCACAGAAUCCUCAUUUAGAAUCUUGGUUUUGCUGAAGUCAAGUUGAAGAGCCUCUGUCAUGCCCAAGUCCGCUCUGAUACUCAGAAGAUGCAAAAAUUACACUGUAGGAUUGAGCCUGGGGUUCUGGUCUUGAAGUUCCACUUCUCUGGCCAAGCAUGCCAUAAUUGCAGUGAAGGACAGCUGAUCACUUUCCAGCAUUGAUAAAUGUAACACUGAAAAUGA